UGAGGUAGUAUUAGUUAUGUUCUUGAAACUUAAAAAAUUUGGCGGUAUUUUAGUCUAUUCAGAGGAACCUGUUUUAUAAUCGAUAAUCCACGAUGGACCUUACUUAAAUUUGUUAUCAGUUUAUAUACCGUCGUUAUUAGAAUAUUUUAUUAGAAUUUUUAAUUUUCUUAAUUUUUAAUAAGAGAAUAUAUCAGAUCAAGGUGUAGCUUAUAUUUAAGUAAAAAUGGGUUACAAUAAAAUUAUUUAAAUGGAUAUAAAUUUGAAAUGUUUAUUAAAAGUGGAUUUGAUAGUAAAAUUAUAAAGAUUAAUAAU
rnacentral:rRNA from 1 species